rnacentral:rRNA from 1 species
AUACGGAGGAUCCGAGCGUUAUCCGGAUUUAUUGGGUUUAAAGGGAGCGUAGGUGGAUUGUUAAGUCAGUUGUGAAAGUUUGCGGCUCAACCGUAAAAUUGCAGUUGAAACUGGCAGUCUUGAGUACAGUAGAGGUGGGCGGAAUUCGUGGUGUAGCGGUGAAAUGCUUAGAUAUCACGAAGAACUCCGAUUGCGAAGGCAGCUCACUAGACUGUUACUGGCACUGAUGCUCGAAAGUGUGGGUAUCAAACAGGAUUAGAUACCCUGGUAGUCCACACAGUAAACGAUGAAUACUCGCUGUUUGCGAUAUACAGUAAGCGGCCAAGCGAAAGCAUUAAGUAUUCCACCUGGGGAGUACGCCGGCAACGGUGAAACUCAAAUGAAUUGACGGGG